GUUCCUUGGAAAAGGACAGCUGAGAGGGUGAGACUCCCGUCCGCCUGGUAGAGUGAGUCUUUGUCAACGAGUCGAGUUGUUUGGGAUUGCAGCUCUAAUUUGGUGGUAAAUUCCAUCUAAAGCUAAAUAUUGGUGGGAGACCGAUAGCGUACAAGUACCGUGAGGGAAAGAUGCAAAGAACUUUGAAAAGAGAGUUAAAGAGUACCUGAAAUUGCUGAAACGGAAGCGAAGGAAACCAGUGUUUGUUGGUUCAUAUUUCCCUGGCCACUUGUGGUUUGGGCGCUGUGAGCUUGCGUGGGUUUGCUUUGGUUGAUCCCUUUGGAAGAGCGCAGUCAGAGUUGAUGUCU
rnacentral:rRNA from 1 species